UGUUUUUUCAUGACAGAGUUUUUCUGUGAAACGGCUCUGGCUGUCCUAGAACUCACUUUGUAGACCAGGCUGGCCUCAAACUCACAGAGAUCUGCUAACCUCUACCUCCUGAAUGCUGAGAUUAAAGGCGUGUGACACCAACACUAAGAGUUUGGGCAUAAAUCAUGCUUUCUUGACCAUGUAAAUUUUCCUAUGAGAAAUAGGCUUAGACAAGUGACAGGGUUCUGAUAGGGACUGGAUGCCUCAGCAUGGGGCAGUUGCUUGUAGUCUGUGCCGCCCUUUAUGAAACAAUCUUACUAUCAAAAGAAGCAUGUAGAAGCUGUCCACCAUCAAAGGAGGCUUUAAAGGCAGGAAUGAGUUUGAGUAGACCAUGAAGACAUGAGGGAAUAGCAUUCAGUGGGGCUUAACUUUUAUUAUGGUCUGCUCCUGUCCCAUGACAACCAGUCCCUCAGUCUGCAUCUGUGACACCUUCAGGUGUCAGGUGACACGGGAGAAAAUAUUUUACAUCUGGUUUUAGGUGACUUUACCCAGUGUGCUGAUAUCAGGCAGAAGUAGAGUGUCACGGCAUUGCAGCUCCCUGAGACUCUGAAUGAGAGUGGAUAAGAGAAACGCCAAUACCUCUCUUGGGGGCAGAGUGUUGAACGAUGUGCUUCACCCAAUUUGUCUGGAAAUUCAGAUGGCUUUCAGGGAAUAUUUACACAAAUCUGUGAAGGGAAUAAGGAAGGCCCAGGAUUUAGCUGGUGAUCGAGACCAUACGGAAUGAUAAAUAGCUUUACCUGGACCAAGGUAUAGAGGGGGAUCUAGAAAUAUAGACUAACCAUUAGAGCAUGCAGUAGAUUCAGUUCCCCCCAUGGGACAUUCUGGAAGUCAACUAGACACCUCUGGGUUACCACAGCCUUAGGGAAACUCAGUGGGCACCAGGUGUUUUCCUGCCAAGGGAUCAGCACUCUACCAGAGUGUCCUUCCUCAGAUUUGGCUGUGCUCUAUCUAGGGGGCUCCUAGGGUGGCAGGAGAAGUCCUGAUGAGCUUGCUGGAGAGCCUGCAGUCUAGUAAGAGACAGAAUAAAGUGGUGAUCUGGGGCCUUCAGGACAGGGGAAGCUAAGGCACAGAGAGCUGAUGGCUCAGGGUGACUGCUGUUUUCAAACCAGUAUGGACAUGUUUCUUUAUCCAGGCUUCCUGGUUUGUAAUGGUUGAGAAGCAGCUCUGGGGGAAGGUUGUGCCUGGAACCCUUAGAAUAGAGCCAGAGCAUCUGCUAUGAUGAGAGAAAUCCCUUAGCAAACAGAGGACUCAAGGAUUAGGGCCGGAGCCAUGUCAACUUUCUUUUCCAUCUCCCCUGAUGCUAACCCGAUAGUCUCUUGAACUAAACAGUCAGGGAGGCAGUGAUGGAGGAUGCAGGUUAAUCAUGUAUUCAACCAAAUGGUCUUUCCUUCUCAGGCAGACCUGACUGGGCCACUUAUGGCCACUGAGGUUGCCAUAGAAACUAGUAGCCUUAAAACUGAGGUAAGGACUGCUAAUUGAGAAUUAUAUUUGACCCUGAUGAUGCUCAAGGCCUUGCUUGUUGUGAAUAGUACUUUAACUAUGUAAAGAUGUGUUACAUUUGUUUAUACUGUGGAAUAUUACUCUAACUAUGUGAAGGUGUGUGAUAUUCAUUUCUGCUGCCUUUGUUAAUGAUGUAAAGAUGUGUUACAUUUGUUUAUGCUUUAUUGUUUAAUUAUGAAAAGAUGUGUUGUUCUUUCACCUUGCCUGCUUAAGGCACCAAUUUGGUCUAAUAAAAAGCUGACUGGCCAAUAGCUAGGCAGGAGAGGGCUAGAAGGGGCUGGCGGGCAGAGAGAAUAAGUAGGAGGAGAAAUCUAGGCUCGAGAGAAGAAGGAAGAGAGAACAAGGGAGAAAGAGAGGGAGGUGCCCGUGGCCACCAUGAGAAGCAGUGAAAGUAAGAUGUACAGAAAUAAGAAAGGUAAAAAGCCCUGAGGCAAAACAUAAAGAGAGACGGGUUAAUUUAAGUUAAAAGAGCUAGCCAGAAACGAGCCUGAGCUAGGCCGAGCAUUCAUAAUGAGAAAUGUCUGAUUCAUGAUUUGGGAGUCGGUUGAUGGCUCAAAAGAAAAUGCCUGGCACACUCACUUAUUGCACUAAGAUCUCAAGCAGGCCGAGCUAUAUAUGGCUGCUGUCCUGGUGGCGAGGUAGGUCUGACAGGGAACUUCCCACACUGCGCAUUCGGUUCUGGGAGUGAACCCAGCGCCUUGCUGUGCCUUUUGCUCGGGGUCUGGUGGUUCUGUGGAAAAGCAAAGUGAGGGAAGAUGGCUGAGAGCCACUUGCGUGUUGACAUUAAACCAGAACCUACAGACAUGGCUCCGCUCAACUGGAAUCCAAAAUAAGAGGGAUCAUGCCUAUAAUCCCAGUACUUGGGAGGCUGAGGUAGGCUUGCCAUGAGUUCAAGGCCAGGCUGGGCUACCUAGACAAGGUCUCAAUAAAACAAAACAGUGAAGGCAAGACUUUUGACUCAAAUCAGGGAUAGAACAAAUGAUGGAACUUGACAGGUUGACUUGAAUAAACUUGUCAGGAGCCCUGUUCAACUAUUAAGAACUGGGGCUGGAGAGGUGGAUCAGUGGUUAGAGCACUGACUGCUCUUGCAGGGGACCUAGGUUCAAUCCCUAGCACUUGCAUGGUGGCUCACAACCAUCUGUAACUCCAACCUCAGGGGACCUAACAUUCUCUUCUGAGCUCCUCAGGUACUGCAUUCACAUCAUGCACAGACAUGCAAGUGAAACACUCAUACACAAAAUAAAAUGAGAAAUGAGUGUAAACUUCCCUUUGAGGGCAAAGAAAACUCACUGAAAGAUUUUAGCAAAUGAUAAAUAUAAUAAGGUGAAAUCUUCAAAAACCAUCCUUUUGGCGUCUGUAGACAAUAGUUUAGAGAAAAAAAGAGAAGGAGCUAGGAGAGCAUCAGGGAGGAUGCAGCAGCAGUCAGGUCUGAAGUGGCAGAGAAUCUGGAGAAGGCGGGAUGGACUUAAAAGUGCUUGGAGGGAGAUGGUACAGAACGGGUGACUGGACUGGUUGGGAGCAAGGUUCCUUGGAAGUUUCUAACUUGAGUGUGUAGAUGAAUGUUUCUGACACUGAGUUAGUGGAGACAAGAGGAAAAAGCAGGUUUGGGAGGAAGAGUGGUUAAGGUGUGCUGAGCAGGAGAUGCUCUCAGUUGAGUGGAGAUGGCGUCCAUGAAGCCCCUGGAAACAGGAAUCACCAUGAGUCAAGGAUUCAACUAAGUGGUUUAGACAGGCAAAAGGUGAUUUGGAAGUUGUUGGGAAGCUAAGCAGAGAACAAACUGAGUGUGAUGGUUCAUAUCCGUAAUCUUAGCACUUCAGAGACUGAGGCAGGAGGAUGGCUGACAGUGUGAAGUCAGCUUGAACUAUAUAGUGAGCUUCAGCUCAGCCUGGUCUACAGAGAGCGAGCCUGUUUCAAAACAACAGUGACCAGAGCAACAAGGGCAGGAUAAACCAACCAACCAAAACGCCCAAGCAAGUAGAAAUCACUGUCAAGAAGAAUGAAAAAUAAAAAAUAGAAACGUCUUACAGGGCUCUUCUGGUAGUCCUUUCCAACUUGACAUAAGCUGGAAUCAUUUGGGAAGAGGGAGCAUCAACUGAGGGAUGACCUCCAUCAGAUUAGCCAAUAGGCUUAUCUGUGGGAGCAUUCUUCUUGUUAAUGAUUGAUGUGGGAGGGCCUACUCCACUGUGGUAGUGACACUCCUGGGCCGGCGGUCUUGGGAGGUAUAAGAACAGCAGCUGAACAUAAGCCUAGAGAGCAAGCCAGGAAGAAGGUUCCUAUAUGGUGUCUGCUUCAGUCCCUGCCUUGACGUCCCCUCGUGAUAGACGGUAAGCUGCAAGAUUAAAUGACUCCUUUACUUCCUGAGUUGAUUUUGGGUAUGGCUUAUCAUGGCGAUGAAAGGCACCAGGACAGGUUUAGAGACCCUCGAUUGAUAUGAACCACUGACUGGUUAGGACUUGCUGUGGCUUCUCAGUACAUUGUGGGCUUUCCAUACACCCUUGCCUCUCUGUAUCUCCUCAACACUCUCUGGUCCAGGACAUGGCAUUCAUAGAGGCCAGUGACUGUGCCCCUCCCUAUGCCAGAAGGAUGGCCAGGCGUACCCCAGAGCUAGCGUCUCCUGAGCACCCUAGGGCUCCAUGUAUGAAUUCUGUUUGAUGUGUGAUCCUACAUCCCAGAACUACCUGGCAGGGCUUUAUGGCUUGGGGAGUAAGCUGCUGGAGAAGGCACUCUUGCUGUGUGUACUUCCUUUUUCAUUCCCAUCGCCCAGCUCUUCCUAUUCCCUCCCAAAUGAACUACUUCAACCCAAAUUGCUGCCUCGGGUUCUGCUUCAAGGUGAAUCUGCAUUAAGUCAGCUUUCUUGUUCAUCCAUUUGAAAUGUACAAACUGCUUCUAUCUUUUUCUCUGAUGCAGAAAACACCAAGGCCUGGAGACACCUGCAGAAAAAGUCCCUCAUCUGUGCCUGGAAACAGGUGUAACAAUAAGUGUUUUUUGUAUUUACUAAUCUUCCCUUCUCAGGACUUCAAAGUGUUUCUCAUGUGUCCCCCGUGGGCAAGUGCAGGGCCGGCAUCUUGUAGAGAAGUCAACUAUGUGAACUGUAAAUUAUGUGAAAUGAAGCUUUCAAGACCAUCUGUUUCUAACUCUAGUGGCCUCUCACCCUUCUCUCUUGAGCUUCGGAACACAGGCCCCUCUCUGCCAACCAUUCCUGUUCUCUCCUGUCUGACUUCUUCCCUCAGUGGCUCCUUCUUAACCACCCAGCUGAAGGGAUAGUGAGUCCUAUAUUCAUAUGACAGUUUCCCCCAGAAAUGUUGGCAUUUCCAAAGGUUCACAAAAGCAGAAAAAUCCCCUGAAUAAAAGCCAGUAACAAGCCUUUAGUCGUGUGAGAACAUUAGUCAAAGUAAGUUUUAAGUCCUUCAUUCAUCUUUGUGAUUUCCAGUCGACUGGUGCAGGGCUUUCAAGAGGAAAAAUGUAGAAGGUUCAGGGAGCAUCUGCCAGUCCUGUUUAAGGGACAUUUGAAAGGCAAGACCAGGGAGCUGGGGAGAAGGCUCAGUUAGUACAGUGCCUGUUAUGCAAGUGUGAGGAUCAGAUCCCCAGUGCCCGCUGAAAAAGCCAGGCAUGGUGGCCAUUCUCCAUAACUCUAGUGCUGAUGGGUCGGGAAGACAAAGACAGGGGGUUCUCUGAGCCCACUGACCAGCUACUUGGCGAGCUCUGGGAUUAAUGGGGUCCCUGUCCCAAAGAAUAAAAUGAAGGGUGAUAGAGGAAGACACCCAGUGUUGGUGUGUCUUCUUAUACACACACACACACACACACACACACACACACACACACACACACACACACACACACACGGGGGAGGGGGGGAGGAAUCAAUUUUUUUUGAAUUUCGUGCAACACGUUCCAAACAUUUGAUUACCCAGUGAGUCAAAUGUGUGCAUUUCAAUUAAGCUUCAUAGAAUAGAGUGGUCCUAUCUUUGUCUGGUCAAGUAUACCUCAUGACUUUCUAUGGAUGUCUGAAACUGGAGGUUAGCAUCAAAUGCAAUGUAAGAUUUAUUAUCUAUUCUCUCUCUCUCUCUCUCUCUCUCUCUCUCUCUCUCUCUCUCUCUCUCUCUCAUCUCUCAUCUCUCUAUUUAUUGAGACAAGGUCUCUAUGUAUGUAUGUAUGUAUGUAUGUAUGUAUGUAUGUAUGUCUGUCCCUGGUGUACUGGAACUCACUAUGUAGACCAGGCUGGCCUUGGAACUCAGAGAUCCGUCUGACAGACUAUUUUUUUCUAAAAACAUACACAGAUGCGAUGCCUUUUCCACAUUAAAUAAACAUUAAGGGCCGGGCGGUGGUGGCGCACGCCUUUAAUCCCAGCACUCGGGAGGCAGAGCCAGGUGGAUCUCUGUGAGUUCGAGGCCAGCCUGGGCUACCAAGUGAGUUCCAGGACAGGCACAAAGCUACACAGAGAAACCCUGUCUCGAAAAACCAAAAAAUAAAUAAAUAAAUAAAUAAAUAAAUAAACAUUAAAUGUGCACCAUGGCUGUACCUUUGGCAAUUUGAGAUGUGAUGGCAAAACUACCAUGAAUCUCGUUUUUUUUUCAGAGAAUAUUCUUUUCCACAGAUCUGAGUUAUGUCAUCAGUCAGUCAAGAACUUUUGCCUUUUCAACUAAAUGAGGCCUUGCUCAACUUACCCUGAGCAUGUCUGAACUAUCCCUACCCCUGUGCUCUGGGGUCAUGUUUACUAAGGGCUGCUGGCUGGACACUCAUGAACACAGCGCUGAUGACUGGGACUUCGCCAGACUUUCUCUCCAGCCCUCUGGGCCUGGUCAUAUGCACAAGCAGGCUUCAUCAAUGCUUCCCUGUCAGUGAGGAAAUCCCCUCAACUGAUGGCCUGCAGACGGGAAAGCAUCGUCAGAGGGAAUGGGAGUCACACAGGCAUGGAGCCAUUCCUUCUUGAGAGUGAAGGCUCUGAGCAGAUGAGAACACACUAGCUUCACUGACCAGGCUCCCUGUGGAGAAGAAUCCAAGACCACCUCCAGCUCAGACAGUUGGGGAAGACUGGGAACUCUGUCAAGCCACGAGAAAUGCCAGGUGGAGAUCUGGAUAGCACUUUUGCCUAACCACCAGCAGCUGACUAAACCUUGAAGGUGGAGCUUAGAGGUCAUUCCUAGAAGGCAGAUUCUCACAGAAGUCAGACAGGAAGAGGGAGGGGCAGAAGUUCCUGCUUGUGAAACCUGGUCAGGUCCUCCAGGCCUUUGACUCUUUUCCUUUGGGUAGACCUGCUUCCUUUACUAUGUGGACAGUGUCAUUAUGUAUGGCUGCUCAGAAAGAAGUGACAGACUUCAACAAAAAUAUCAUUCAAUUAGAGUCACAAGAAAAUCAAUCAACAAAUGAACAAAACCAAGAGACUGAACAUUGAAAGCCCUUGUUCUCCAGUGUGGCAUGGAUACAGCCCUCUGCUGCUGGGAUAUCCUGAGCCUUCGAGGACUAACCAGGACAGUUCGUGUGAAGAUCUGUGGCGACAAAGGAAUUUGCUAUGUAUCUUGUGGGCUUUUUUGGAAAUAGAUUUGUUUUAGGGGAAAAUGUGAGCCUGGAUUGAUGCCAGGGAACUCUGACUCCUUGAUUCUAGCUCUGUUUACAGGCCCAACUUUAAACCUGUGCUGGCUUGGAUAGAGUUUAUGGUGACAGUUUGGCCAAAAUGUUAUGAAAAAAAAAUACUACAUAUGGAAGAGAAAAUAAUACUUAAUGAUAGGGAAUUGGCCCGUGAAUUUCUGGUUCAUCCUCACAAAAUGGGAAAAGCUAUGUACAGUAGUGAAUGAUCUUUUGAAAGUGUGCGGGGACACUACUGUGAACACAUUUCUACUUCUUGUAACUUCCCAGCUUGAUGCAAAGAUUCAAAAGUCAUAAUAACAAAACUGAUGAAAAUUGUAUGCAUCAAAGACA